rnacentral:rRNA from 1 species
CAGUCGCCGCGGUAAUACGUAGGUGGCAAGCGCUGUCCGGAAUUAUUGGGCGUAAAGGGCUCGCAGGCGGUUUCUUAAGUCUGAUGUGAAAGCCCCCGGCUCAACCGGGGAGGGUCAUUGGAAACUGGGAAACUUGAGUGCAGAAGAGGAGAGUGGAAUUCCACGUGUAGCGGUGAAAUGCGUAGAGAUGUGGAGGAACACCAGUGGCGAAGGCGACUCUCUGGUCUGUAACUGACGCUGAGGAGCGAAAGCGUGGGGAGCGAACAGGAUUAGAUACCCGCGUAGUCCCUGUCUCUUAUAC